AUUGAACGCUGGCGGCAUGCCUUACACAUGCAAGUCGAACGGCAGCACGGGUGCUUGCACCUGGUGGCGAGUGGCGAACGGGUGAGUAAUACAUCGGAACAUGUCCUGUAGUGGGGGAUAGCCCGGCGAAAGCCGGAUUAAUACCGCAUACGAUCUACGGAUGAAAGCGGGGGACCUUCGGGCCUCGCGCUAUAGGGUUGGCCGAUGGCUGAUUAGCUAGUUGGUGGGGUAAAGGCCUACCAAGGCGACGAUCAGUAGCUGGUCUGAGAGGACGACCAGCCACACUGGGACUGAGACGCGGCCCAGACUCCUACGGGAGGCAGCAGUGGGGAAUGUUGGACAAUGGGCGAAAGCCUGAUCCAGCAAUGCCGCGUGUGUGAAGAAGGCCUUCGGGUUGUAAAGCACUUUUGUCCGGAAAGAAAUCCUUGGCCCUAAUACGGUCGGGGGAUGACGGUACCGGAAGAAUAAGCACCGGCUAACUACGUG
rnacentral:rRNA from 1 species